UUUAAUUCUUAAAAAUUUGUAGUUUAAAACUCUAUAUAAUUUUAUUUUCAAUCCAUUUUGAACCCGAUCCUUAAAUUUUAUAGGCAAUGGUGUAUGUCUAUGUGAUAUCUCAUACCUAGUUACACUAAUAGUAGCCCUUGAACUCUACUCAAAUAGAGAUGUCGGUCAAUUCAACUGUCUCUAGGAGUUAACCUAUCGGUGACUCGGAGUAGGCUCACAUAGUCAGCACUCGUAGACAUACUUGAUCCUUUCACCCAAAAAGUUGUCUUGCAACAGGUUAUAAUAUUUGAGUAGAGUUAAGAACUUUGUCCAUCCAAGUGUUUGCAUAAAACUUUGGCAGAGUACCCAUAUAUCUGCUUUUCUUUAUUCAACUUUAUACAGGAAC
rnacentral:lncRNA from 1 species